ensembl:lncRNA
GAAGAGCCAUGGUACAAUGCUGUUGACCUCACACCCUCUGUGCCUGCAGAAAACCAUCCCAUUUCUGGGGCUGAGAAGCUCCUAAGCAGCGAGGCGGCCCUAAUAAUUCCACUUAAUCUUCCCCCAUAAAUCACUCCUCCCCUCCCCUGCAGUCUAUUGGCAUCAUCUGAAGCUAUUAGCUAAUUUGAAGCCAGGAGUUCACACGUUGCCUGGUCCCAUCCCGUCUCCCUGCAGCAGUAAGUAUGCACUCCUGGAGGGAGGCUGCCUGAAGUCACCCUCCUCAUCCUCCUCUGGUGGGGAAGAGGUGACAGCACAUCCCCACCAGCCCGGUGGGACAGGGGCAUGGAGCUUUCUGCUCCUCCCUGGUGCCUCAUCCUGGGAUUUACAGCUCCAGUUGAGAUCAGCUGAAACCUGAUGACAACGCCUGACAUGUCUGCAGUGCCCGCGUCCCUGCUGCUCACCCCCACUUCGCUAAUGAGCUUUGCUCAGAGGUGAGAGAUUUGUCCCUAAGAGCAACUUUGGAAGAUCGAGAGUUAUGAAUGUCAUUCCCCAAUCCACUCAGGAGCCGGCAAUUUUCUGGCCGAGGUGGGAAGCUGCCGACAUCGUAUGAUACACGGCGAGAUUGAUUGUAUUUACUUACCCUUUAACCUAAUAAAGAAAAA